rnacentral:rRNA from 1 species
GAUGAACGCUGGCGGCGUGCCUAAUACAUGCAAGUCGAGCGAACAGAUGAGGAGCUUGCUCCUCUGACGUUAGCGGCGGACGGGUGAGUAACACGUGGAUAACCUACCUAUAAGACUGGGAUAACUACGGGAAACCGGAGCUAAUACCGGAUAAUAUAUUGAACCGCAUGGUUCAAUAGUGAAAGACGGUUUUGCUGUCACUUAUAGAUGGAUCCGCGCCGCAUUAGCUAGUUGGUAAGGUAACGGCUUACCAAGGCAACGAUGCGUAGCCGACCUGAGAGGAUGAUCAGCCACACUGGAACUGAGACACGGUCCAGACUCCUACGGGAGGCAGCAGUAGGGAAUCUUCCGCAAUGGGCGAAAGCCUGACGGAGCAACGCCGCGUGAGUGAUGAAGGUCUUCGGAUCGUAAAACUCUGUUAUUAGGGAAGAACAAAUGUGUAAGUAACUAUGCACGUCUUGACGGUACCUAAUCAGAAAGCCACGGCUAACUACGUG